CAGUACAGGAGCUCCACAGGAAUCUGUGCUCUCUCCAUUCCCGUUCACCUGGACAGGAUCUGGAUAUGGUGGAGGAGUACAACUGGAAGACCAGCACAGGCUGUAUAAACAGGGCAUGAGCAGGCUCUAUUUCCUACAAAAGCUGAGCUCCUUCAAUGUGCAACUGAGUGAUGGAGGUUUUCUAUCACUCAGUGUCCUUUGCUGUGGUCUGCUCAGGGAGCAGCAUCAGAGCUGGUGACACCAACAGUCUGAAUAAACUGAUUAGGAAGGCUGGCCCUCUGACUGGCUGCAAACUGGACACUUUUAUAGCUGUGAUGAAGACGAGGCAUCUAAAACACCAUCAUCCGUCAUGGAUAAUCCUGAAAAACCUCUGCAUGACUUACUGGACAGGCAGCAGAGCUCCUUCUCUAACAGACUGAUUCAGCUCUGCUGUCACAAAGAAACACAUGGGAAAUCUUUCACACCACACGUUAGCAUCCUUCAUAACACAAUAUAUCUGUCUGACAAAGAACCAUCUGCCAGAUUUUUUUCAACAGGUUAUUUGGUAAAUUCAAAAGAAUUUCCCAAAUAUGCCUCCUCUCACAAGCCUCCUCUCCAUCACAACUAUAAAAGUGUCCAAUUCAAAAGAUAUGGGAUAAACAAAGCAUUUCUCAUCUCAUCAUCAGUGGAAUAGUGAAAAUUUGGAAUACUCAAAUAAUGCUCAGACAGGCAAACACUGUAGGUUUUGUUAGGAGAAAAAAUGGUUACUCAGUGACUGAAAUGUUCAGUCCAAGUGUAUUUCCUGUACUCUUAGCAGCUGUCUCAGCCAAUGCGUGCAGCAACUUUGAAGCCAAACUGAAAGGGAC
ensembl:lncRNA